UCCAUGGUCAUAUGCUGCGCCGGGUGCGG
rnacentral:sRNA from 1 species